GAGUUUGAUCCUGGCUCAGAUUGAACGCUGGCGGCAUGCCUUACACAUGCAAGUCGAACGGCAGCAUGAUCUAGCUUGCUAGAUCGAUGGCGAGUGGCGAACGGGUGAGUAAUACAUCGGAACGUGCCCUGUAGUGGGGAUAACUAGUCGAAAGAUUAGCUAAUACCGCAUACGACCUGAGGGUGAAAGUGGGGGACCGCAAGGCCUCAUGCUAUAGGAGCGGCCGAUGUCUGAUUAGCUAGUUGGUGGGUAAAGGCCCACCAAGGCGACGAUCAGUAGCUGGUCUGAGAGGACGAUCAGCCACACUGGGACUGAGACACGGCCCAGGACUCCUACGGGAGGCAGCAGUGGGGAAUUUGGACAAUGGGCGAAAGCCUGAUCCAGCAAUGCCGCGUGUGUGAAGAAGGCCUCGGUGUAAG
rnacentral:rRNA from 1 species